GGUGGGGUGGCGGAAUUAGUAAACGCGGUAGCCAGCAGAGCUACUGGCCAAAAAGCCUUGCGGGUGCAAAUUCCGCCCCUGCCUCCA
rnacentral:tRNA from 1 species